rnacentral:rRNA from 1 species
CUGACUGCUAUCGGAUUGAUACUAAGCCAUGCGAGUCAUUGUAGCAAUACAAGGCAGACGGCUCAGUAACGCGUAGUCAACCUACCCUAUGGACGGGAAUAACCUCGGGAAACUGAGUAUAAUGCCCGAUAGAACAUUAUGCCUGGAAUGGUUUAUGUUCCAAAUGAUUUAUCGCCGUAGGAUGGGACUGCGGCCUAUCAGUUUGUUGGUGAGGUAAUGGCCCACCAAGACUAUUACAGGUACGGGCUCUGAGAGGAGUGGCCCGGAGAUGGGUACUGAGACACGGACCCAGGCCCUAUGGGGCGCAGCAGGCGAGAAAACUUUGCAAUGUGCGAAAGCACGACAAGGUUAAUCCGAGUGGUUUCUGCUAAAGGAACCUUUUGUUAGUCAUAGAACCACUAAUGAAUAAGGGGUGGGCAAGUUCUGGUGUCAGCCGCCGCGGUAAAACCAGCACCUCAAGUGUCAGGAUGAUUAUUGGGCCUAAAGCAUCCGUAGCCGGCUCUGUAAGUUUUCGGUUAAAUCUGUACGCUCAACGUACAGGCUGCCGGGAAUACUGCAGAGCUAGGGAGUGGGAGAGGUAGACGGUACUCGGUAGGAAGGGGUAAAAUCCUUUGAUCUAUUGAUGACCACCUGUGGCGAAGGCGGUCUACCAGAACACGUCCGACGGUGAGGGAUGAAAGCUGGGGGAGCAAACCGGAUUAGAUACCCGGGUAGUCCCAGCUGUAAACUAUGCAAACUCAGUGAUGCAUUGGCUUGUGGCCAAUGCAGUGCUGCAGGGAAGCCGUUAAGUUUGCCGCCUGGGAAGUACGUACGCAAGUAUGAAACUUAAAGGAAUUGGCGGGGGAGCACCACAAGGGGUGAAGCCUGCGGUUCAAUUGGAUUCAACGCCGGA